UACCUGUAAAACAAGAGAGACAAUCAACUUGUGGAUUUUCUUUCUAUUGAUUUAAUUAUUUUACUUUGAGAGCCUUAAAUCAAUUGAAAUAUAAAAUGAGUCAAGAUUGUUAUUAAAAAUCUAUUUAUAUACUUACAGUUAUCAAUCCAAAAUAUAAACUGAAAAGUACCACAGCCCACAAACAGAAAGUCGCAGCUCACUGAAAGCCAUUUAGGGGAGGGGGAUAUCAGAAACAAGUAACUGACAAGUUUGAUAAGCUAUGUUUAAUGACAAACAUUUCCCAAGAGUAAAAUUCCAUCGGUCUUUAAAACUAUGGUGAGAGACCCCAGCAGUGGGCAGAGACACCUUGGUGGUGGUCGUACACCAGUCAUGGGCAAAGCAGAUGGCAGCCCUUUGUUCAUCCUAGUUUGAUGGGUAGCUUAGUGAUCAAAGCUGUUUUAUGCAUAGGACACAUAAAAAUCAAAGAAAUCCAGGCAGCGCAGCACAGCACAGGAGGAAGAGAGAGACCAGAGGAAGACCACAAUACCUUUCAGACCUGCCCUCCAGCCCAUGGCACAGGUGGACCACAGACACCUCUUGCCUCCAACCACUCAGCACAGAAAAGGAUGCUGCCUACAGGUCCAUGAAGUGUGUGGCCAGCCUGUAGUGGGAGCUACCACAAUGUCAGAGUCUGUGGUGCUCAGGUAGGAGAGAGAGAAGUGGAGCAGCUUGAGCAUUAUGAAGAGAGAUGGAACUAGAGACUCAAGGCCUGGUAUGAGUGGCCAGCCCCAGUACCUGGUGCCAUGAUCAGGUCCCAGCAUGAGCUGUCACUGAGGGUGAUGUUUGAGCCCAUGACUACAUAGCAACAGGGUUGGUGUUGAUGUCCAUGACUCACAUGUCACUGAUCAGGGCAGCAUUGGGGCAUCACAAGGACUGUGGAUAACUGGCCCAUCCCCUCACUGGAUGCAGAGGGCUCUGGAGAGCUGGUCUCAUCUCUCAUCUCUUGCCAGCAGCAGAACUGGGGAGAGGAGACCCUGUGCCUUGCCCAGGUAGCACAGUGGCACUAGUUCUGGCAGCAGUCCCGGGGUGUGAGUCAGCCAUGAUGGCCUGCCUAUGAGAGAGCUGACCCUCGCACUCAAUUUGCCGGCGGUGGCAUGGGUGCAGAGGUGAUGGAGGCCCUCCCCUUUCCCUGUGGCAGUCAGGAAAGCUGCCCACAGGACAUGAGCUCAGGAGAGCUGCCCCUGCCCCCACCAGCUGCAGGAUUCAGGACAGCAAGGUAGGACUGGCUCUGGUAGAAGGGGCAUGGGUGAGCCAGCCCCACUGUCUAGUGUGAGGUGGUAUGGGGCUGAUACCCUCCCUUUCCCCUCGUCACCAACGGUGACUGGAAGAGCUGACACUGGGAUCAUGAGAGCAGGAGAGUUAGCCCUGCCCCUUUACAGGUUACAGCACUCAUGGCUGCACCUCACCUGGACAAUACAGUGGAGCUGGCCCUGAUGGCAAAGGCAUUGGUGAACCAGCCCACAGGGUGCGAGAAUGGGAGAGCUGACUUCCCUCCUGCCAAGGGUGGCAUUGGGUAGCCUAACUGAAGCAGUGCUUGUUGCCCUGGUAGUGCAGCGAGGGAGAGCCAACAGGCUGACUAGCUCAGCUGCCACCCAGGCCCAAGACCCUGAGUGGGUCCACUCCAAAGUCUUAUCAUCUGCAGAUUACUGGGACAGGAGAGAGGGCCAGCUGGUCCUGCUGAUCCAAAGCUACAAGAGUUCCUUGAUACAGGGCAACAACAAGAUAUCCAGGAGUCCAGAUGAGGAUCCAAUAUUGAUGGUGUAAUAGAAGCCAGAGAUUCCGAACCAGACCAAUGGCUCAUUCAUUACAAGGAAUGUGAAGAUGUGUGGGACACACUAUGACACACUACAGCUUCCAUGAUGAGAUGGUUUCUAUGUUUGCUGGUUUUUUGUUCUCGCUAUGUAGUCCUGCUCAGUAGAUGAGGCUGUCCUUAACCUUAGAGGCCUACUUGCCUCCUGAGUGCUGCUGGGCUUAAAGGAACGGCCAGACUGAAUGCCACACCUAUCAAGAGCCAACUAAGGUCAAGGACACAGCCAACGCUCAGUGACUACUUGAUCUGCUUUUUUGCUAACACUUUAUCAACAAAAGUGACUCAAAGACCCAGAAGACCCUAAUGAGAUCCUCCAGUAAUGUCAGGAACCUCAAGUCAGAUCAAGUUGUAACUGGAACAUACAGAAGAGCCAGACCAGCCCCAAAAACUGCUGAGCAGACAAGGCAGAGCAGAGCUGGUACCUGUGGAGGAGACCCUGGAUAUCAAGUCACAAGCCUUCAAGCCACAGCACGGGUAAAGUCAACCACCUCCAUAGAACCUGCCUCUUGGUUAAGGAUGCCAUCACUUCCACCUGAGCUUAAACUGGUGUGGUGACAGACCUGUCAGAAGUACUUACAUAACAAUACUGACUUAAACAAAGCCUCAUGUGUGGAAACGACUGCAAAAAAAAGUGCCAACCCACUUUUCCCAGGAACACAGAAUAUAAAGAGGAAAUCAUGGAAAAUUUAAAACAAUAUUUUAAACCUUCUCUUUUAAAGCUUGUAUGUCAAAUUCA